GAUGAACGCUGGCGGCGUGCCUAACACAUGCAAGUCGAGCGAUUUACUUCGGUAAAGAGCGGCGGACGGGUGAGUAACGCGUGGGUAACCUGCCCUGUACACACGGAUAACAUACCGAAAGGUAUGCUAAUACGAGAUAAUAUGCUUUUAUCGCAUGGUAGAAGCAUCAAAGCUUUUGCGGUACAGGAUGGACCCGCGUCUGAUUAGCUAGUUGGUAAGGUAACGGCUUACCAAGGCGACGAGCAGUAGCCGACCUGAGAGGGUGAUCGGCCACAUUGGAACUGAGACACGGUCCAAACUCCUACGGGAGGCAGCAGUGGGGAAUAUUGCACAAUGGGCGAAAGCCCGAUGCAGCAACGCCGCGUGAGCGAUGAAGGCCUUCGGGUCGUAAAGCUCUGUCCUCAAGGAAGAUAAUGACGGUACUUGAGGAGGAAGCCCCGGCUAACUACGUGCCAGCCGCCGCCGUAA
rnacentral:rRNA from 1 species